CGGGGCGUAGCGCAGCUCGGUAGCGCGCAUGCUUCGGGAGUAUGAGGUCCCCGGUUCAAAUCCGGGCGCCCCGACUA
rnacentral:tRNA from 1 species